rnacentral:rRNA from 1 species
AUGGUUGACACAGUGAAAACUUGGUGGAGCGCCAACGCCUCCAACACGACGCAAUCUCGACGACCGCUUACCUGCCUUAUGCUACUUGUCUCGUGGGAAAUCUGGAAAGAGCGGAAUGCUAGAGUAUUUCGUAACGUCGCAGUGCCUGUUGGAGUUUUAGUUGCUAGAAUCAAAGACGAAGCGGUGAUAUGGUGUGUGGCAGGUGUGAAACAUUUGUGUAAUACCAUGCCGCAAGAGUGA